GAUGAACGCUGGCGGCGUGCCUAAUACAUGCAAGUCGAGCGAACAGACGAGGAGCUUGCUCCUCUGACGUUAGCGGCGGACGGGUGAGUAACACGUGGAUAACCUACCUAUAAGACUGGGAUAACUUCGGGAAACCGGAGCUAAUACCGGAUAAUAUAUUGAACCGCAUGGUUCAAUAGUGAAAGACGGUUUUGCUGUCACUUAUAGAUGGAUCCGCGCCGCAUUAGCUAGUUGGUAAGGUAACGGCUUACCAAGGCAACGAUGCGUAGCCGACCUGAGAGGAUGAUCGGCCACACUGGAACUGAGACACGGUCCAGACUCCUACGGGAGGCAGCAGUAGGGAAUCUUCCGCAAUGGGCGAAAGCCUGACGGAGCAAUGCCGCGUGAGUGAUGAAGGUCUUCGGAUCGUAAAACUCUGUUAUUAGGGAAGAACAAAUGUGUAAGUAACUAUGCACGUCUUGACGGUACCUAAUCAGAAAGCCACGGCUAACUACGUG
rnacentral:rRNA from 1 species